GUGGCUGGUAAAAACACUUUUGAACUUUUUAAUGUACUGUAUUCCCCCUGCCCUGCUCCUCUUAGACAACAGCAUGGCUCAGUGCUGCCCCCUCUGUCCUGGAGGAAUGUGGGCAGACUGUCUUUGACCCUGAACAACUGAAGACAGUGUUGCAGCACCAUCAGCAUCAUGUAAACCUGAACAAUAGUCAUGUCUCUAAUUACACCACAGAUACCAUCCUGUCCACACUGUCCCUCCCUCCAAUAAUCAGAGUUAUUAUUAACUACGAACCAGACAACUCUGACAAUGUGAGGCCAUUCUCAGAUGACGAUGAAGACCACAAUGAAAUCCUGGAUGAAGGCACUGAUAGAUGUUUGGAGGAUCUAGGACUGUCAACAUCACAGGAACAGGAAGAAUUGAACUUGGAUCAUUCUCUCAACGUAAUGGUGAAUGCUGACGAGCCAUGCCAGGUUCUUACCUGCACUCUGCCUCCAUUCUCUCACAGUGAAAUGGCCAACCUCUGCAAGGACAAUACCGACCAAGUAGAAAAGGAUAGAAAGCAGGUUGACAAGAAAGAAGAAGUGGUCAGAAAAGGG